AACGAACGCUGGCGGCAUGCCUAACACAUGCAAGUCGAACGAGACCUUCGGGUCUAGUGGCGCACGGGUGCGUAACGCGUGGGAACCUGCCCUUAGGUUCGGAAUAACUCCCCGAAAGGGGUGCUAAUACCGGAUAAUGUCUUCGGACCAAAGAUUUAUCGCCUUUGGAUGGGCCCGCGUUGGAUUAGCUAGUUGGUAGGGUAAAAGCCUACCAAGGCGACGAUCCAUAGCUGGUCUGAGAGGAUGAUCAGCCACACUGGGACUGAGACACGGCCCAGACUCCUACGGGAGGCAGCAGUAGGGAAUAUUGGACAAUGGGCGAAAGCCUGAUACAGCAAUGCCGCGUGAGUGAUGAAGGCCUUAGGGUUGUAAAGCUCUUUUACCCGGGAUGAUAAUGACAGUACCGGGUGAAUAAGCUCCGGCUAACUCCGUG
rnacentral:rRNA from 1 species